rnacentral:rRNA from 1 species
UAAUGGGAGCUUGCUCCCAGAGGUUAGCGGCGAACGGGUGAGUAACACGUGGGCAACCUGCCCUGUAGACUGGGAUAACAUCGAGAAAUCGGUGCUAAUACCGGAUAAUAAUAGGAACUGCAUAGUUCCCAUUUAAAAGAUGGCUCCGGCUAUCACUACAGGAUGGGCCCGCGACGCAUUAGCUAGUUGGUAAGGUAACGGCUUACCAAGGCGACGAUGCGUAGCCGACCUGAGAGGGUGAUCGGCCACACUGGGACUGAGACACGGCCCAGACUCCUACGGGAGGCAGCAGUAGGGAAUCUUCCGCAAUGGACGAAAGUCUGACGGAGCAACGCCGCGUGAGUGAUGAAGGGUUUCGGCUCGUAAAGCUCUGUUGUUAGGGAAGAACAAGUGCCGUUCAAAUAGGGCGGCACCUUGACGGUACCUAACCAGAAAGCCACGGCUAACUACGUGCCAGCAGCCGCGGUAAUACGUAGGUGGCAAGCGUUGUCCGGAAUUAUUGGGCGUAAAGCGCGCGCAGGCGGUCUUUUAAGUCUGAUGUGAAAUCUCGGGGCUCAACCCCGAGCGGUCAUUGGAAACUGGGAGACUUGAGUACAGAAGAGGAGAGUGGAAUUCCACGUGUAGCGGUGAAAUGCGUAGAUAUGUGGAGGAACACCAGUGGCGAAGGCGACUCUCUGGUCUGUAACUGACGCUGAGGCGCGAAAGCGUGGGGAGCAAACAGGAUUAGAUACCCUGGUAGUCCACGCCGUAAACGAUGAGUGCUAGGUGUUAGGGGUUUCGAUGCCCUUAGUGCCGAAGUUAACACAUUAAGCACUCCGCCUGGGGAGUACGACCGCAAGGUUGAAACUCAAAGGAAUUGACGGGGGCCGCGCACAAGCAGUGGAGCAUGUGGUUUAAUUCGAAGCAGACGCGAAGAAACCUUACCAGGUCUUGACAUCCUUAUGACCUCCCUAGAGA